UUGACCUCGAAUCAGGUAGGAAUACCCGCUGAACUUAAGCAUAUCAAUAAGCGGAGGAAAAGAAACCAACAGGGAUUGCCCCAGUAACGGCGAGUGAAGCGGCAACAGCUCAAAUUUGAAAUCUGGCUCUCGGGCCCGAGUUGUAAUUUGUAGAGGAUGCUUUUGGUGAGGUGCCUUCCGAGUUCCCUGGAACGGGACGCCAUAGAGGGUGAGAGCCCCGUCUGGUUGGACACCGAUCCUCUGUAAAGCUCCUUCGACGAGUCGAGUAGUUUGGGAAUGCUGCUCUAAAUGGGAGGUAUAUGUCUUCUAAAGCUAAAUACCGGCCAGAGACCGAUAGCGCACAAGUAGAGUGAUCGAAAGAUGAAAAGAACUUUGAAAAGAGAGUUAAAAAGUACGUGAAAUUGUUGAAAGGGAAGCGCUUGUGACCAGACUUGGGCUUGGUUGAUCAUCCGGGGUUCUCCCCGGUGCACUCUUCCGGCUCAGGCCAGCAUCAGUUCGCCCUGGGGGAUAAAGGCUUCGGGAAUGUGGCUCUCUCCGGGGAGUGUUAUAGCCCGCUGCGUAAUACCCUGUGGCGGACUGAGGUUCGCGCAUUCGCAAGGAUGCUGGCGUAAUGGUCAUCAG
rnacentral:rRNA from 1 species